UUCAACUUUUUUUAGUUUUUUCCACUUCAUUUGACACCAUUUCAUCCGUCAUAAUCCCCACUUGUAAAUUUUUAGCUCAGAGCACUCUUAUAUGCACCAAUAUCACUGUAUCAUAUCAAGCAGUAUAAAACACUGCCUUUCUCAUAAUCUAUUGCUAGACGAUAAAGUUCUUAGGUUUUGCUGGUGCAAUUCAUUGAUAAUAUGGUUUCUGUUUUCAGUUGAGGCUUCUGGUGAUAGUUGAUUGAUUCAGUUUAUUUUUCCCCCUUUUUUUAGGUGUUGGACCCAAUGGUCAAUAGCUUCCUUGAGAAGGGCUUGAUUUUGAAACGUUGUUAAUUUUGUUAGGAGGUUUAAGUUGGUCAAUUUAGGGAAGAGGGAGUAAAAAUGGAUCACUUGGUCAACUGGUACAGUGCUGCCAUUAUGGGUUCUUGCAAAACCUCAUGUUAGAAAUUUUGAUGUGAAGGUUUUGAGGAUCCUCUUUCUUGCUGGCUUUGGGUUCCUUCUGCUCUUAAAUUUGUUCUAAUGCGGCUUACAGUUUAAUUUUUGGAAAACCUCACUAGUUUUCACUCUACUGAUAUACAAAUUUAAGGCUUGAUUGGAUGUUGAUUUUCACAUCUCUUUUCAGUUGGAAAAUUUUAACAAGAAAAAGAGUGGCCUAUGGUUUAUAGAUUUUCAGGAAUUUCACAAUCCUGAAAUAGUUAUUAAGUCUCAGUCGAAUCUUUCUGCAUAUAGGAGUCUUAGAACUGCUUGAUGUUUGGCUUUCCAGAGUCCAAAACCAAGCAAUAGAAGCAUUGUUGAAGCUCAGUUUUUCUGUUAAUUGUGAAGCCAAUGUUACAGAGUAUUUGUUUUGCAAAACUGAUGAGUGAACUGUGCAGUAACAAAGUUUAAGACUCUUUCUAUAAUUUUUCAUAGUUGCUUGCCAUAACUGUAGGUGUAUUUGGUUUUUGCUUUUAUACAAAUUCUUUUAACAGGAAAAAGUAAUGGGGAAUUUCAUGACUGUGGUUCUUCAACCUGAACACUCUGGAGCCAAGCCAUAAAUGGUCCCUCAAUAAAUUUUCAGUUGUCAAAUUCAUUUUGUCCUAUUUGCAAUGCAACAAGCAAUUAUAUAUAUAUAUAUAUAUUUAAAUGAAAACAGGCUUUUUUAGCAGACGAGGAUUUUUAUUGGAGACGUGUGUAUGAUCCUGUGGUCAAUCGUUGGGAGAUGGGAAAAUUGCCUUCACUGUUUUUAUCAACAGAAAGAAAAGAACUAGGACCCAUCAGGCAGGCAGAUUUCCACUUAGAGAUUAUCCCCGUCUAUGAACUUGACCACUUGUUUAGCUCUGUGGCGUUGGAUUUUGGACAUUGCCUUGAUUGUGACGAGCUUGGCGGACCCAUUUACAUUGCAUACAUAUCAAAAAGGUCUGUUGAUGGGAUUCUUUUAUCGUCCAUUGGAGGAACUUACAAAUUGCUUGGAGUGCUUUGUUUGCCAUCCAUAUACCAAGUCAAUUCUCAACUGUGACACAUGUUAAAGGAAAAAAAAAAAAGGUUCUUUCUCUCUUUCUUUCUUUCAUCUCUCUAUUGCUCACAAAUGUCACGUAGUUUCUCUCUCUCUCUCUCUCUCUCUCAUCUAAUUAUAUAAAAUCCCUCUCUUUUCACAAAUUCUGGUGGAUUGCUUGCUGUAUUACCUAGCUUUGGUAACUGUAAAUUGUCUUGUAUCAGCAUUCUGAUUUGUUCAAACUUAGAAAUGGAAAUACACCUAAUAUUUUGCAGAGGCAGGAAAUAUCGUUUCAGAUGAAUUAAAUUUUCUGUAAAGGUCACAGUAAAAAUCCUGUUUUCCCUUGGAACAGCUGUAUGGACUUAAGAGUGGUUGAUGGUUCUAGCAGUUCAGUUGUCCGGUCCCUAUCUGGCGUUUAAACGUUGGUGCACGAUUGGCUUGGCCAUUUAAGCCACCCUUCUCUAUGUGGUCAUUGUUCCGUGUACUCCAAGAACAUCUGCCGACCAAAAUUUGUAGAAUGCAAAGCAUCAUUUUGUUUUC